rnacentral:rRNA from 1 species
CGGACGGGUGAGUAAUGUCUGGGAGACUGCCUGAUGGAGGGGGGAUAACUACUGGAAACGGUAGCUAAUACCGCAUAACGUCGCAAGACCAAAGAGGGGGACCUUCGGGCCUCUUGCCAUCGGAUGUGCCCAGAUGGGAUUAGCUAGUAGGUGGGGUAACGGCUCACCUAGGCGACGAUCCCUAGCUGGUCUGAGAGGAUGACCAGCCACACUGGAACUGAGACACGGUCCAGACUCCUACGGGAGGCAGCAUG